UACAGAGGGUGCAAGCGUUAAUCGGAAUUACUGGGCGUAAAGGGUGCGUAGGUGGUUGUAUAAGUUGGGUGUGAAAGUCCUGGGCUUAACCUGGGGACUGCGCUCAAUACUGUAUAGCUAGAGUACUGUAGAGGAAGGUGGAAUUUCCAGUGUAGCGGUGAAAUGCGUAGAUAUUGGAAGGAACAUCAGUGGCGAAGGCGACUUUCUGGACAGAUACUGACACUGAGGCACGAAAGCGUGGGGAGCAAACAGG
rnacentral:rRNA from 1 species